UACGUAGGGUGCGAGCGUUGUCCGGAAUUAUUGGGCGUAAAGAGCUCGUAGGCGGUUUGUCACGUCUGCUGUGAAAUCCCGAGGCUCAACCUCGGGCCUGCAGUGGGUACGGGCAGACUGGAGUGCGGUAGGGGAGAAUGGAAUUCCUGGUGUAGCGGUGGAAUGCGCAGAUAUCAGGAGGAACACCGAUGGCGAAGGCAGUUCUCUGGGCCGUAACUGACGCUGGAGGAGCGAAAGCGUGGGGAGCGAACAGG
rnacentral:rRNA from 1 species